GAGUUUGAUCGUGGCUCAGAUUGAACGCUGGCGGCAUGCCUUACACAUGCAAGUCGAACGGCAGCAUGAUCUAGCUUGCUAGAUUGAUGGCGAGUGGCGAACGGGUGAGUAAUACAUCGGAACGUGCCCUGUAGUGGGGGAUAACUAGUCGAAAGAUUAGCUAAUACCGCAUACGACCUGAGGGUGAAAGUGGGGGACCGCAAGGCCUCAUGCUAUAGGAGCGGCCGAUGUCUGAUUAGCUAGUUGGUGGGGUAAAGGCCCACCAAGGCGACGAUCAGUAGCUGGUCUGAGAGGACGAUCAGCCACACUGGGACUGAGAUACGGCCCAGACUCCUACGGGAGGCAGCAGUGGGGAAUUUGGACAAUGGGCGAAAGCCUGAUCCAGCAAUACCGCGUGUGUGAAGAAGGCC
rnacentral:rRNA from 1 species